GAAGUCGUUUCUGCACGGACCUGGAUGUGUUCACAGCAGCAGAGACACGUUGAAACAGGAAAGGGCCUUCAGCAAACCGCCGACACGGGAGCUGGAAGCAUGCAGUUGGACGGAGCGCUCAUCGCCGCCGCGGCUGCGACACCCACGCCACUGCGAUCAAUCCCAAUUAAAACUUCAGGUCGACUGGAAAUGGAAAGAGUCGGAAGCCAAACGAGUACGGCGGGAUUUGCUUUCCUCAGCGGCCUUUGGAGGAAAAACACCGGCUGUGUCUUUUUUAAAUUAUUUUUUGGAUGUUGUUGUUUUCAUUUAUUUUCUCGCCGCGCGGUAAUUGAAAUUAAUAUUAUGUGUUUGCAUUAGACGGAGCGGGCGUGUGUCUGUGUGUUGUGAUUGAGAGGGUCAAAUAACAUGUGUGCACACACACACACACACACACACACACACACACACACACACAGAGAGGACUCUGACAGUGAUGAAGUGGAGGGAGAGUCGCAGCCGGGGCGAGGAGUGAUGGACGCGGCGGCGGCCGACACAAGAGGAAACCUCCCGGGGGGGGGGACGCGAGAGAGCUGGCGCGUGCGUGACGGCUACCAGAAUGUGUAACGUGAGCAGGGCUGAGAAUAUGAUUUAAAACCGGCAAACCGACAAAAGUCCAGCUUCAAUGUGUUCAUCUUCUUUAGGCGGGUAAACAGCAGCAAACUUUGUUGCCCCCCCGUCACUUGUAUUCUGAGCUGCACUGACCACAGUGAGCCAGUUAAAUGUUUAAGAAAGUAAAUAAAAUAGAUGAUCUCUCACGUUGUACGGGACUUCGAACCUACUCUCCAGCGUCGUAUGCCGAUGUGAAAAGUCCCUUCACAUUUUUACUUCAGGAACAUAAUGUCAAGUGAGGGAGGCCAGACAGAACCGGCAAAGGGAAGGCUUAAUGCAUUAUACUUAAAUGUAAUGUGUGUGUGUGUGCAAAUCCUUCCAGGAAAAGACUCCCUGAAUGUGCUCCAUGUUCUGUGUGUGUGUGUGUGUGUGUUCCUGCAGACGGAUAAUGUCUUUGAGGAGUCCAGUCGUCUUUCCGACUGGCUGCAGCUCGGAGCCGCGGAGCCGCCUGAUGGAGGCGGCACGGCGACCUCCGUGCCUUUAGUAACCCCGUCAUUUCUGUCAUUUGUCCGUCAUCGAUGUGACCCCCAGGAGGAGGCUCCUGCUCUGUUGAAUCGGAUGUACAGACAUUGUGAUGUGUACCAAUCUCCUCUGAUUUCUUUCCCUCAGUUUGUGAUUUUUGACCAAAAGAAGGUUUUGGGACGGACACCGAUGUCCUACCUGUGACCAGGACAGAAUCUCUCUGUCUCUGACAUCCGUUAUGCACAAAGAGCACAAGACAGACUUGGAUCCAGUGCAGCUUCACCUGUUCUGGGGGGGAAGCAGGAAAUCACCAACCUAAAGGCAGUUUGUUGAGGAAGCCGCUGGAGUUGCAGAGACAAGACCCAGCAGCUUUAGAGGCGGUUCCAAGUUGGACCAUCGUCUCCGUCCUCCCCGUCCGCCUGCAGGGCCCUCGGCCCUCUGGAGCGCCGUCUCUCCGAAGCUGAAGAGGUGCGGCAGUCUUCCUCUCCCACCUGUUUCUCUCUGCCUCUCUUAUGUAAUUAAGGCUGCUUAUGUGGUUACAAUGAAACGACUCCCCGAGCUCCCAAAACAGCGAGGAGGUGUUAAUGGAGGAAACGCACACGAGCUGCCCGCCGAGGAGCUGCAGAGAACUGUUGUCCGGGCCAGAACACUUUGU
ensembl:lncRNA